GCCUACACAUGCAAGUCGAGCGGUAGCACAGAGAGCUUGCUCUCGGGUGACGAGCGGCGGACGGGUGAGUAAUGUCUGGGAAACUGCCUGAUGGAGGGGGAUAACUACUGGAAACGGUAGCUAAUACCGCAUAACGUCGCAAGACCAAAGUGGGGGACCUUCGGGCCUCAUGCCAUCAGAUGUGCCCAGAUGGGAUUAGCUGGUAGGUGGGGUAACGGCUCACCUAGGCGACGAUCCCUAGCUGGUCUGAGAGGAUGACCAGCCACACUGGAACUGAGACACGGUCCAGACUCCUACGGGAGGCAGCAGUGGGGAAUAUUGCACAAUGGGCGCAAGCCUGAUGCAGCCAUGCCGCGUGUGUGAAGAAGGCCUUCGGGUUGUAAAGCACUUUCAGCGGGGAGGAAGGCGGUGAGGUUAAUAACCUCAUCGAUUGACGUUACCCGCAGAAGAAGCACCGGCUAACUCCGUGCCAGCAGCCGCGGUAAUACGGAGGGUGCAAGCGUUAAUCGGAAUUACUGGGCGUAAAGCGCACGCAGGCGGUCUGUCAAGUCGGAUGUGAAAUCCCCGGGCUCAACCUGGGAACUGCAUUCGAAACUGGCAGGCUAGAGUCUUGUAGAGGGGGGUAGAAUUCCAGGUGUAGCGGUGAAAUGCGUAGAGAUCUGGAGGAAUACCGGUGGCGAAGGCGGCCCCCUGGACAAAGACUGACGCUCAGGUGCGAAAGCGUGGGGAGCAAACAGGAUUAGAUACCCUGGUAGUCCACGCUGUAAACGAUGUCGAUUUGGAGGUUGUGCCCUUGAGGCGUGGCUUCCGGAGCUAACGCGUUAAAUCGACCGCCUGGGGAGUACGGCCGCAAGGUUAAAACUCAAAUGAAUUGACGGGGGCCCGCACAAGCGGUGGAGCAUGUGGUUUAAUUCGAUGCAACGCGAAGAACCUUACCUGGUCUUGACAUCCACAGAACUUUCCAGAGAUGGAUUGGUGCCUUCGGGAACUGUGAGACAGGUGCUGCAUGGCUGUCGUCAGCUCGUGUUGUGAAAUGUUGGGUUAAGUCCCGCAACGAGCGCAACCCUUAUCCUUUGUUGCCAGCGGUUAGGCCGGGAACUCAAAGGAGACUGCCAGUGAUAAACUGGAGGAAGGUGGGGAUGACGUCAAGUCAUCAUGGCCCUUACGACCAGGGCUACACACGUGCUACAAUGGCAUAUACAAAGAGAAGCGACCUCGCGAGAGCAAGCGGACCUCAUAAAGUAUGUCGUAGUCCGGAUUGGAGUCUGCAACUCGACUCCAUGAAGUCGGAAUCGCUAGUAAUCGUAGAUCAGAAUGCUACGGUGAAUACGUUCCCGGGCCUUGUACACACCGCCCGUCACACCAUGGGAGUGGGUUGCAAAAGAAGUAGGUAGCUUAACCUUCGGGAGGGCGCUUACCACU
rnacentral:rRNA from 1 species